UACGUAGGGGGCAAGCGUUGUCCGGAUUCAUUGGGCGUAAAGAGCGUGUAGGCGGCCCGGUAAGUCCGCUGUGAAAGUCCAGGGCUCAACCCUGGGAUGCCGGUGGAUACUGUCGGGCUCGAGUCCGGAAGAGGCGAGUGGAAUUCCUGGUGUAGCGGUGAAAUGCGCAGAUAUCAGGAGGAACACCAAUGGCGAAGGCAGCUCGCUGGGACGUGACUGACGCUGAGACGCGAAAGCGUGGGGAGCAAACAGG
rnacentral:rRNA from 1 species